AGCAGCCGCGGUAAUUCCAGCUCCAAUAGCGUAUAUUAAAGUUGCUGCAGUUAAAAAGCUCGUAGUUGAAUUUCGGGACCGAUAUAUCGGUCGUGCCUCGGUACGUACUGGUAUUUUCGGUUUCUCCCUUCUGACGAACCUUGAUGUCAUUAAUUUGGUGUCUUGGGGAAUCAGGACUGUUACUUUGAAAAAUUAGAGUGUUUAAAGCAGGCUCACGCUUGAAUACAUUAGCAUGGAAUAAUGAAAUAGGACGUUUGAUUCUAUUUUGUUGGUUUCUAGGAUCGACGUAAUGAUUAAUAGGGAUAGUUGGGGGCAUUAGUAUUCAAUUGUCAGAGGUGAAAUUCUUGGAUUUAUUGAAGACUAACUACUGCGAAAGCAUUUGCCAAGGAUGUUUUCAUUAAUCAAGAACGAAAGUUAGGGGAUCGAAGACGAUCAGAUACCGUCGUAGUCUUAACCAUAAACUAUGCCGACUAGGGAUCGGAUGAUGUUAAUUUUUAAUGACUCAUUCGCGCCUUAGGGA
rnacentral:rRNA from 1 species